UAGCCAUUAGCUCCGGCACUGGAGAGUGAUAAAUUCUUGACAAGAUAAGUCAUUCAUCGUCUCUGAUAGUAUUGGGUUUUUUUUUUGUGGAUGGUAACAAAGUUGUGGGACAUGAUUAUUGUGGUGGCUCUUGAGUAGUGUCUCCACUAUUAUCUUCACUAUUACUCUCCACUAUUAUCCCUUAAUCCACAAAAUGGCAAACUUAAAAGUGAAAUAUCUUUCGUCAAAGGGUU